rnacentral:rRNA from 1 species
GAGGAGGAUGAGGAGGAGGAGAUGAGAGAGGGAGGAGCGUACAGGUACCCACCACCUUGUCAACGAUGAAGCAGGAGGCUUGCACCCACCGCCACACUGCUGGAGGAGGGGGCCUGCCAUCUACUAGAUUACAUGCCAAAAAGUGGUUGGAAGCACGGGAGUCGCGUGAGAAGUGCACGCAAGAGAGGAACAUGGUCGAUAAACCUGGAACCAUGCUCCGAGGACUUCUGCUCUGCAAGUGAAGGCCACAAACAUGGGGGGAGAAGAAACAACGACCAUUGGACAUCUGAAGAGGUGAAAGAGCUAGUAGAUGGUGUAUCUGUCUACGGGGUUGGACAGUGGACUAAAUUGAAGAAUGAAAGGUUUCCGAUAUCAGUUCGAACGGCCGAGCAUCUUAAGGAUAAAUGGAGAAACCUGUUGAAAGCCUACACGGGAAAUGUGAAAAGAAGGAUCUCGCCUCCUCUAGAUAAGGAUUGUGUCGAAAAGAUCCAGAGGCUAGCAGCUGAUUACCCUCGAAAAUGA